rnacentral:rRNA from 1 species
AACCAACAGGGAUUGCCUCAGUAACGGCGAGUGAAGCGGCAACAGCUCAAAUUUGAAAUCUGGCUCUUUCAGGGUCCGAGUUGUAAUUUGUAGAAGAUGCUUCGGGUGUGGUUCCGGUCUAAGUUCCUUGGAACAGGACGUCAUAGAGGGUGAGAAUCCCGUAUGUGACCGGCUACCUUCGCUCAUGUGAAGCUCUUUCGACGAGUCGAGUUGUUUGGGAAUGCAGCUCAAAAUGGGUGGUAAAUUUCAUCUAAAGCUAAAUAUUGGCCAGAGACCGAUAGCGCACAAGUAGAGUGAUCGAAAGAUGAAAAGCACUUUGGAAAGAGAGUUAAAUAGUACGUGAAAUUGUUGAAAGGGAAGCGCUUGCAAUCAGACUUGCACGCAGUUGAUCAUCCGGUGUUCUCACCGGUGCACUCUGCUGCGUUCAGGCCAGCAUCGGUUCUGGUGGUUGGAUAAAGGCCUUGGGAAUGUAGCUCCUUUCGGGGAGUGUUAUAGCCCUCGGUGCAAUGCAGCCUACCGGGACCGAGGACCGCGCUUCGGCUAGGAUGCUGGCGUAAUGGUUGUAAGCGACCCGUCUUGAAACACGGACCAAGGAGUCUAACAUCUAUGCGAGUGUUUGGGUGUCAAACCCAUACGCGUAAUGAAAGUGAACGGAGGUGAGAACCCUUAAGGGUGCAUCAUCGACCGAUCCUGAUGUCUUCGGAUGGAUUUGAGUAAGAGCAUAGCUGUUGGGACCCGAAAGAUGGUGAACUAUGCGUGAAUAGGGUGAAGCCAGAGGAAACUCUGGUGGAGGCUCGCAGCGGUUCUGACGUGCAAAUCGAUCGUCAAAUUGCGCAUAGGG